UACGUAGGGGGCAAGCGUUAUCCGGAUUUACUGGGUGUAAAGGGAGCGUAGACGGCAUGGCAAGUCAGAUGUGAAAACCCGAGGCUUAACUUCGGGAUUGCAUUUGAAACUGUCAAGCUAGAGUAUCGGAGAGGUAAGUGGAAUUCCUAGUGUAGCGGUGAAAUGCGUAGAUAUUAGGAGGAACACCAGUGGCGAAGGCGGCUUACUGGACGAAAACUGACGUUGAGGCUCGAAAGCGUGGGGAGCAAAC
rnacentral:rRNA from 1 species